ACCCGUAGGAAGCCAGCGGGGAGGGCAGGAGGGCGAUGCCGAAAACACGGCUGAAAAUCCCUCCUUUUCUGUUUGUACCCCGGAGGGGAAUGAAAUUAUCUCUCUGCUUCUCACCGGCGACUGAAAAGCUGGCUGGGGGCCAGCCCUGGAAUUACAGGUGGAAACAAUAGCUGUCAGCACCCAGGUGGAGCUGGGAGCAAAUGCAAUAUAAGCGCGCGGCCAGGAGCUGCAUGGCACGGAGAGGUGCUGGGGCUGCAGCAGCAGGAGCGGCUCUGCCAUGGGCAUGGGGAAAAGAGGGGAAAGUUGUGCCCUUUUUGGGGUGUAGGAGGGGUCCUGGGGGUUCACCAGGACCCCUCCUGGUCUUGGGUGCUCAGCAGCUUGGUGAUGGUUUUGUGUCUGGGGAUGAGGGCAGGAGGGGUCCCUCCCCAUCCCGGGGUCCCUUUGGACGCUGUGGUGUCACUCGGACCAGCCAGGGCACCAAAGUGGAAGAACAGCCCCCAGGGCUUUGUCUGCGGUAGCUGGCAAAGACAAAUCCUGCCCAAAACAACCUCAGCCUGCCCUAACCAACCUCAGCCCGCCCUGAACAACCUCAGCAGUGUUUGGCUUUCGGGUUUCUUGCUGUUUCUACCAGCUGAGCCCUAGGCUGGAGCAAACAGACGCAGGGCUGCGGGAUGGCCGUCCCACGUUGUGCAAUAACGCCGGUGACUGACUCGCAAGGAGACGGCGUACGAGUUCUUGGGGAUCUCCUCUGCAAACCCCAGCCCUGCCCCGAGACAAUCACUGCCUUGUGCUCGUGGUUGUAAGGGGCACGGGGAGGCUGCCGGGCGCUCAGCUCAUCUCGUGCAAUCCUUCUGCUGCGCCUGAAGCAGAACACAAAACCUGGAUGGAAAUAUUACGGGAGAGAACGGCCUGGAUCUGCUUCCCUGUUACUGCAGAACAAUUCCCCUGCCAUAAAAGUACCUCCGAGAGCCAAGGGAAGAUUAGCUCAUAGGGAAAAGGGCGUGCUGGGGAACAAAGGAGGGAGGUGCUGCUGGGGGCCUGGUGGACGGAUAGAUGGAUGGAUGGAUGGACAGACGGAUGGAUGGAUGGAUAGAUCCAUCCGUCCGUCCUGGGGAGCUGGGGAUCCGUCCUGGGGAGCUGGGGAGCUCUUGUCUUGGCGCAGGUUUCACAGCAGCCCCUCUUUGCCCUCUGUUCCUGGGUGGUGGUGGCUGUGCCGCUGUGCAAAAACCCUCCCGAGACCAGGGAAACGUCUCCAACAACAAGGGAGCCCCCCCUGGGGCCUCCCGAGUCAUUAAACAAAUUAAGUUGUUUAGAACAAGGAGGCCCAGGUGACUGGGUGUGAAAGCCCCCGGGGGGCCUCUGUAAUUGCUGAGUGAAGGCAGCGCUGGUGGGUGGAAGGGAGCCGAGGAGCCAGGGGGGGAUUUUUGCCUCCUCCCCCCCUUCCCAGCUCCAGGUCGGGCUUCCUGGGGCACCUGGGGACUCGGCCACCCGGGCAGCUGGAAGCCCCAAGUGAUGCUCAGGCCUGGAGAGCUUCACUCCUUUAACCGGACCCUGGCUCCCACCCCCGAGGGGUUUCACUGCCUCUGACACCAUCCUUGGCCUCGCUCCUUGCAGAGCUGUGGAAGCAGCUGCUGAGUGAAGGGGAUUUUUUUUUUUUUCCUUCCUUGCGCAAAGCUUUUUCCCUGCUGCUCUUUGCAGAGGUGGCUCUUAACCCUCCGUGACUCCAGAGGGAAGCGGAGCGGGGCUGCUGCGGUUGUCAGCUUUGCUGCCUUGCUCCUGGGAGGAGGUCGGAGCUCUGAACUUCUGCCCCGAGCCCUUUGCCCCAGCCCAGCAUCGCCGCCGAGGUGGCGCGGGAGCCUCCCUGCCCGCUGCACCUCGGCGAGCGUGACCUGGGAGGAGCAGCGGCGGCAGCUUUCCAAGGAAAGAUGCAAAAUUCCCAAACCCAGCUGCCUCUUCCUUCGCAGCGUUAGACACGCCGUGUUUAGACGAGAUGACAAGCUGAUAAGGCGCGGCGCUGCAAUCUGCCUUGGCGAGCUGCGAGUGGGAGCAGGAGCCUUCUCCGGGCUCCGUGCGUAAGGAGACGCGGGGUCCCUGCUCUGAAAGGCUGGAAAAAGGUGCAAGAAGUGGGGCAGCCGAGCUCUGAGGCUGUUCCCAACUCCAGCCACCAGCUCAGCACCUUCCCCAGCUCGUCCCGUGGGAGCUGGGCUGGAGACCAGGUCGGGGAGCUGCGCUGUGCCCAGGAGCUUUGGGCUCUCUCAUAGCAAUACCAGAGGAAAGUGCUCAGCGCUGUGACAAGGAGCCUUAUCUUUACCGUGCAGUGGGGUAGGAUGUGCUCAGCGCUGCCUGCGGAGCUGCUUUUGCAGCCUGGCAUUUCUUUCCUGGGGUCAGUUUUUUGCUCUGCCCCGCGCGGAGAGGUGAAGCCCUGCUCCUGAUGCAUCUCCCCGAACCCUUCCCAUCUCCCACCCAGGAUUUGGGGCAAACUUUGCUAACCCCUGAUUCUCAGCAGGGCAUUCAGGGGGUGACAAAUCACCACACUCGGAGGAGCACCACUAAUUCUGUGAAGACCUUUCGGGUUGCUGUUUUAGGGCUGGCUGUGCGGGGAGCUGCGUGGGCUCAUUUCUCCCGCAGAGCUGUGCCGCAGGAGCCGGGCUCCCAGCCCGUGCUGGAAUCGGACACCCUGAGUGCGAUCCAGCAAAAGCCCCCGCUCCGAGCAGGGUGGGAGCUGCUCCUUUCCAAGGGUUAAGACGCAGACAGGUCUCAGCAAGGUCUUGGCCGUGGCUGCAGCGAGCUGCCCGCACCCUGCACGGCGUGGAAAACCCUGGUGAGAGCGGAGAAGUGGCCGCGGUUCCUCCUCCGGCGGGGGUGGUUUCCCUCCCUUCUCCCUUUCCCUCCCCCUCUCCUUGAAGCUCUCAGAAACAAGUGCUGUUUUAUUGCCGAUAAUUUACCAGCUGCACAAAGGCUGCCUUGUAACGCAGGGCUCCAGAUGUUUAGCAUUUCACAAAAAUCUAAUCGUAAGGUACCUGUUCCGCUGGCGCACCAGCUGACCUGGCUGGGGGAGAGCCGCCUCGCAGCCUUCUCCUGCCUUUCCCAGGCAGAUCCCAACCCCGCAGAGCCCUGGGGUUUGCUGGUGCUGAGCUGCUGGGGGGUGCAGGGGCUGGGCAGAGCUGGAUGAGAGCAGCUUUCCCUGUGGAGUCCAUGGGCUCGUGGCUACGGGCGCAGCGGUGGUGCCGGAGGGUGCCAAGGGGCCGUGCAAUGUCUGCUCCAUGCCUGUGCCCCCUGCUCGAGGGAAUUGGGCACCCCUGGGUGGGAGAU